rnacentral:rRNA from 1 species
UACGGAGGGUGCAAGCGUUAUACGGAAUCACUGGGUUUAAAGGGUGCGUAGGCGGCUAAAUAAGUCAGAGGUGAAAACUUGCAGCUUAACUGCGAAAUUGCCUUUGAUACUGUAUAGCUUGAAAGGAGCUGAGGUCAGCAGAAUGUGGAAUGUAGCGGUGAAAUGCAUAGAUAUGCCAUAGUAUACCAAUUGCGAAGUCAGCUGGCUGGGCUUACUUUGACGCUGAGGCACGAAAGCGUGGGGAUCGAACAGG